CUAUACCUAGUGUAGAGCGACUGGCCACUGCAUUGAAACGUAGGCUUCAAUGGGUUCUAUUACGGCAAUUACUCAGUGUGCGUGGCUGCACGAACUCAGCUGACACAUCCAACACAGACUUCAAGCAGUUGAUACAGGCUGCUAUUUAGUGGUUGUGACGGCAUUUGAUUGCGUUUUUGUUUUCAUCAUAUAACAAAUUUGGCGUAACCUCUGGUAGGUACACAGAAUACAGCAGUCGGAUCACUUGUCUAGCUUACCUUGCUCCAGUGCAGGCAGCUGUGGAGUUACGUGUGAGUAGCUAUGCAACCUGCUCCCACUGUCUGUCAUUUUUUCAUUCCUAUCCGUGAAUAGCUUGGAAAGCCAGAUGCAGUCGAAUAUUGGGUUUAUGUUUCCUUGACAUUUAUGUCUCUGUUCUGACUCAGACAAUUUUCUUGUAUAGAAUUUGAGAGGCUUAUUGUGGAUCAUGGAAAGUUAUAUUCUGUAUUUUUUCCUAAUGGCCGCAAUUCUCAUCUUCAGAAGUUCCUGUUACAGACGGUCAUGAUGAGUAGAAGAAGGCAACAUGAUGAAGCAAAACUCCAUCACCACUACGUUGGAGUCUUCCCAUUCAGUCAUCAUCCAAUUUGCUCCAAAGAAUCACAUACAAGCAGACGCUUCUUACAGAUGGCUGUCCUCUAGAAUGAAAAUGCACACCAACCACCGGCAAACAUCAAAAGCUAAUCCAACCUUUGGCUUUGUGUGGAAAGGUCUUCGGAAACCCUGUGACUGAUGCAAUGUUGGUGCCCUAGAAGACAAGUCAGCACAGUUCAGACGAGCCAGCCAGAGGAGGUCACCG